rnacentral:rRNA from 1 species
AGGGCACCCCCAGCAUUGGACCCUGCGGUUUAUUUUGACUCACCACGGGAAACCUCCCCCGGCCCGGACACUGAAAGGAUGGACAGAUUGAGAGCUCUUUCUUAUUUCGGGGGGUGGGGGUGCAUGGCCUUUCUUAGUUGGGGGAGCGAUUUGUCGGGUUAAUUCCGAUAACGAACGAAACUCUGGCCUAUUAAAUAAUCGGAGUUUUUUGAAGUGUACCGCGUUUCUUAGAGGGACAUGCGGAGUCUAGCCCCCUAAAAUAAAGCAAAAACAGGGCUGUGAGGCCCUUAGAUGUCCGGGGGAGCGCGCGCCCCCCACUGAAAAAAUCCCUCAGGGAGUUCUUGGCUUAAAAAGAAUUCCUUAACCCAUCCAAAUUCUUUGGUGGUGGAUCGCACCAACAGCUAUUAUUUUUUGAAACAAUUCGAAUUCGAUCAAUGGUCUUGCCAUAAGAUCCCUUGAUCUUGAACGCUGCCGCUUUGACACCCCCCCAAAGCUGACUACCGAUUGGAUCACUUAUCG